CCCAAUUUGGGGGGAUCGAACACACGACUCUGAGAUUAAGAGUCUCAUGCUCUACCGACUGAGUCAUCGU
rnacentral:tRNA from 1 species